AUGCAUGUAAGUCCCCUAGCCGAGGGAGCCCAAUACAUGGUUCGAACCCAGUACAAACCCGAGCACGCGGUUUAGUACAUCGUAAAACUCUAUCAACGCCAAUCGGUUCAGGUGAGCCGGGAUCACUUUGAUCAACUUGAACAAAAUUAGACGACGGAACCCUAUUUGCAUUUGGGUCAAUAUUCGGCCCAUGAGUGGAAUUUACCACAUUCGGCCCUUGCAACCCACACCGUCCAUUUCCAGCAACAAAAUUCAAUGAGGCAUUUCCAUUAGUCCCAUCGCAAUUAAAACCAGGCCCAUUAUCAUGUCCAAACU
rnacentral:lncRNA from 1 species